rnacentral:rRNA from 1 species
UACGUAGGGUGCAAGCGUUGUCCGGAAUUAUUGGGCGUAAAGAGCUCGUAGGCGGCUUGUCGCGUCGUCCGUGAAACCUGGGGCUCAACCCCAGGCUUGCGGUCGAUACGGGCAGGCUAGAGUUCGGUAGGGGAGACUGGAAUUCCCGGUGUAGCGGUGAAAUGCGCAGAUAUCGGGAGGAACACCAAUGGCGAAGGCAGCUUGCUGGGACGGUACUGACGCUGAGACGCGAAAGCGUGGGGAGCAAACAGG